AUGGCAAACAAGAGUACCUUCGAAAGUUCUAGUAUUUGGUUGGAUGUGCUUCUAAAACAGGUUGCUGACCAGAGAUCAGUUAUGCAAUUUUCGGGUUUAUUUACUUUGAACCAAAAUAAGUGCAAAUGGGCUUCAGAUGUCUGGCAGAAAGUAUUAGUGUGGCUAGAAUUCAAGCAAGUUGAUUGGAUGGUGGGAUUAGGACACCUACUAUGGUUUCUCCGGUAG